AAACUGUCCCUGUCACAAAAUAGUGCACUUUAUAGUGUGUUCGCCAUUUUGUAGUGGUGUUCGAAUUCUCCGCGGUAAAUUUCAUUCAAUAUACAUACUAACUUACUGCC